rnacentral:rRNA from 1 species
AAAUUCUCAACGAUGGAUAUCUUGGUUCCCAUAACGAUGAAGAACGCAGCGAAGUGCGAUAAGCAAUGCGAAUUGCAGAACCGUGAGUCAUCAGAUUUUUGAACGUAACUGGCGCCUAUUGGUAUUCCGAUAGGCAUGC